rnacentral:lncRNA from 1 species
AGUUGAUUUGGGAACCAGAGAACAGCAGCCUAAGUGUGACUGUAAUUUUUGGCAGCUACAGAUUCCCAAGACAACUAGGAAGGGAAAAGGAACCCUUCAAGGAAGUUCCAGGAAAAACGUCUCUCCCAAAAAGACCACCGCUUCAGGAAAACCUGAGGAAGGGAGUGGGCCAACAGUAUCCUGCCACUGUGACCAGCUGAACGAGGAACUCCAUCAAAAUGAGCCACAGCUGGACCAAAACAGUGAGGAGACCUCCACCUUCUUCAGUGUCUCCCUGAGCAGUCAGUAAUUUCAGGGCAAGCUGAGAGGUCUCCAGAGGUCUAACCCCAGAUAAAUAGCCAACAGGGUCUAGAGUACAUUUUAUACCCAACAGGGUAUACCCCAUGGUGAUCAAAAUAAAAUAAACCUGUUGUAAAAUGAAAAAAAAAAAAA